rnacentral:rRNA from 1 species
GACGAACGCUGGCGGCGUGCUUAACACAUGCAAGUCGAACGGAAAGGCCCUGCUUUUGUGGGGUGCUCGAGUGGCGAACGGGUGAGUAACACGUGAGUAACCUGCCCUUGACUUUGGGAUAACUUCAGGAAACUGGGGCUAAUACCGGAUAGGAGCUCCUGCUGCAUGGUGGGGGUUGGAAAGUUUCGGCGGUUGGGGAUGGACUCGCGGCUUAUCAGCUUGUUGGUGGGGUAGUGGCUUACCAAGGCUUUGACGGGUAGCCGGCCUGAGAGGGUGACCGGCCACAGUGGGACUGAGAUACGGCCCAGACUCCUACGGGAGGCAGCAGUGGGGAAUCUUGCACGAUGGGCGGAAGCAUGAUGCAGCAACGCCGCGUGCGGGAUGACGGCCUUCGGAUUGUAAACCGCUUUCGCCUGUGACGAAGCGUGAGUGACGGUAAUGGGUAAAGAAGCGCCAGCUAACUACGUG